rnacentral:lncRNA from 1 species
UGUGAAGUGGAUGUGUGCUGCAAACCAGCGCUGGAUCAAUUCGCACAGACAGACCAAGAGGCUGCACCAAUCAAAUCCGCGAAUUUUCACUCCGAGCGCAGCGCAGACCGUAACCAUUAUCCAGGAUCUCUGACGACUAAACUGGAGCUAGAUAACAUAAGAUAAGUGAAAUAUCACAUAAACUCCUUCUCUAAGAAAUCAAGUCGCACUUAAUCGCACAAAGGAUGUGCCCCGUAUUUCCUCGCUCGCGCUCAUCUAUUGACGCUCAAAUCUUGGCAGUGAACUCACGCUCUAUGUGGUUAUUUAGUGCAUGCUGCGUAUCGUCGUUAUUUUUUCAGCACAGGCAAAAACGGUAUAUAAUCAAGUGCCCGGAGUGUUACAUUUCUGCGCCGGAAGAUGAAAAGAAAGCAUUAUUUAUAAAGAGACAGGGAGUUUUAAGACAUUAUAUCCAUUCCUUUCCCGAUCAUUUCAAAUCCUGUAGUGCAUGUUUCGUACUAACGGCUACUUUACAUACCCUCGCAAUUUGUCCAGAGUGUCUUGAGGUACUAGAGAAAUUUAUCGCGUAUCUACCGGACAGAACGGAGGAACAGCCGCGGAACUACGCGAAAUCUACUAUCAUCGGAAUAUCCAGUGCCCACCUCUAACCAAUUACGGAGCUGAACAAAUUUAGAUAAGCCUCUCCUUCGGUACAUAAAUCGCCAAAAUUUAACCUAACCUAACGUAAAGUCUCGGGUUAGUUCGAAACCGGAGGACCGGCCGAACUCCCCCUCGAGCAUAACACCGAAUAGCGCUAAUUGGUUGUUUCAAUGACGUAUUCUCCAUUCUGCAGUCCUUUUCCACACCAUAUAAUUUCUAAGAAUCACGAAAUGAGAAGGCCGACCUCGUGAUUGGUCAGAUUUCGGGUCUCUUUAAACGCCGUCAUUUAUGGGUACUUUCAAUGCGGUUGAGAAUCUGUGAAUUGGUGUGAGCAACCGUUUCAAUACAAAAAGGCGCGAACGCGAAAUCGGACUAUCAACUGUCAACUAUGGUGAAAUUAUAAACAGUAUUUAUUGUUACGCAGAGUACGGACAUGGAAAGUGUCUUCCAGGAGAAAAUUGCAAGAAAGUGUUGUUUCGUCUUUGUUCCUCUAAAGUAUACUAUCAACUAUCACCAUGGGAUGAUGUGUUGCUUGUGGUAUGAAAUCAACACAAGGGAUCAAGAUAUCAGUGUUUCCUAGAGAUCCAGACAGAAGAAUCCAAUGGAUUGCGGCAGUUCGAGCACUGGGCAAACCAAAUUGGAAUCUGACAAAAGAUUCAGUGUGAGGUGAGCGGUACCAAGAGAACAUUAGAGCGUCCCUACACCGGCCCUCACAAGGUUACAAAUCGUGUUUUGGAUCGAGUUUUCGAUAUUGAAGUUAAUGGUGCACAGCGCAGUGUAUCAGUCGAGAAUUUGAAGCCAGCGUAUGGCAUACGCGAUGAUUUGUGUAGUGCGAUUCUAGAAGCAGGGCAAGCAGGGCAAGCAGGGCAAGCAGGGCAAUUCGUCCAGCAACGAGCGACCAACUUUGAGAACGUAUGCGCGCCCGAAGAGGAAGGUGACUUUCGCCAUAUAAUUUUAAUAAAUCUUCACAACGAUAAAAUACCUAAGCCGGAUUCGUUGUCACUCGGGGGGGAGUAUGUGAGGAAUUCUUAAUACCUCACUAGCGCAGCGAGUGUAGAAAGCUUAAGGAUUAUGUAGGUAGCAAGUUGCCUAACAGCGUAAAAAUAAUAAA